AUGGUAGUUCCUGAGGCGGAGGAAGCGACUGCGACGUCGCCGAAACCCAUAGGGCUGAUUUCUAUGGUGAUGGAGGGCCCUCGACGGCAACUCGAUGGCGAGCCUGCUCCGACGUACGUGGAGCGCAGUGGGUGGUUCACUGUUGAGGUGAUACAUGGUGGAUUUUUCUUUGGCAGUGGCAACAAUAGGUGCUAUUUGGAUGGACAGAAGGUUUGCUAUGAUUACUGUCAUGUGGAGAGGGCAUAUUCCAGAUUUUUUGAAGAGUUAGUAGAGCAGUUGGGUUAUGAAAAGGCUGGCAGAAUUGAUAUGUACUGGUUGCCCCAUGGGUCUCAGAUUAAUGAAGGUGCUGCUAGGCUAUUGUGCAAUGAUGCAGACAUAGAUGCUAUGUAUUUAAUGAUCAAUCGAGGGCACCAUUUUCAAAUGAUAUACCUUGAUCAUGUAGACAGCCAUAUUUCAGGAGGAGGAGCUGAAUGGGAUGAUGUAGUGGCUAAUCCAGUAGCCCAAAUUCCUGUUGUUUUCAGUCCAAAGAAGAUGCCAAGUAGAUAUGGAAAUGAAAGCAAUACAUCCUGUAGUGUUGUGGAUGAAAGUCAAGAUAUUCAGAUUCAUGACCAGUUAUUUGUAAAACUCAGACCAAGAGGACAGAAAAUAGAAGAGGAGGAAGAACCAAAUGCAGAUUCAGAUUCAGAUUCUGAUAGUGAUUAUGUCUGA
rnacentral:rRNA from 1 species